rnacentral:rRNA from 2 species
CUUGGAGGAAUGAAUAGCAAUUGCUAGUUGCACUAAAAACAUUAGUGUAAAAUCGACUUUGUCGAAUAAAAUUCUGGGUAGAAUAUUGAUAAUGACAUGGUCUAUCCAUAAGUCUUGACCAAAUUACGUGCCAGCAGUCGCGGUAAUACGUAGAAGACAAGUGUUAUUCAUCUUUAAUAGGUUUAAAGGGUACUUAGACGGCAAAUAAAGCCUUAAAAAGGAACUAGUUUGCUAGAGUUUUAUGUGAGGGAGUUUUAAAGUACUACUGGUGUAGAGAUGAAAUUCAGUCAUACCUAGAUGGCACAGGUUAAGGCGAAAGCAUCUUUUUAUGUAAAAACUGACGUUGAAGGACGAAGGCUUUGUGUCUCGAACAGGAUUAGAUACCCUAGUAGUCUAAGCAGAAAAUGAUGAAUGUCAUAGAUUAGGUAUAAUUUGAUCUAUAAAUGAAAGUGUAAGCAUUUCACCUCAAGAGUAAUUUGGCAACAUUGGAACUGAAAUCAUUAGACCGUUUCUGAAACCAGUAGUGAAGUAUGUUGUUUAAUUUGAUAAUCCGCAAAAAACCUUACCACAAUUUGAAUAGAUAGAUUUUAUCGCACAAGCGUUGCACGGCUGUCUUCAGUUAAUGUCGUGAGACUAUGGUUAGUUCCAUUAAAUUAACGUAAACCCUUACUUUACUUUAAAAUAAAGUAGUUCACCGCUAUAUUGGAUAUGAUAAUAGGGAUCAAGACAAGUCAUCAUGACCUGAUAUAGAUAUUGU